UCAGCUGGCCGGGCGGCCGCACCUGCGAGAGCCGAAAGGCUGCGGGUGAGGAAAGUCCGGGCUCCAUGGAAACACGGUGCCGGCUAAUGGCCGGCGGGGGCGACCCCAGGGAAAGUGCCACAGAGAGCAGACCGCCACGAUUUUCGUGGCAAGGGUGAAAGGGUGGGGUAAGAGCCCACCGCGCGACCGGCAACGGGAGCGGCAUGGUAAACCCCACCGGGAGCAAAACCGAAUAGGGGCGGUGCGAGGGGAAACCCUCGGGGGCUGUUUCCGGCUCACCGCCCGGGUAGGUUGCGUGAGAUGCCUGGCAACAGGCGUCCAAGAUGAAUGGCCGCCACGUUUCCGCGCCGCAAGGGGCGGAGGCCAUACAGAACCCGGCUUACAGGCCGGCUGGCAUU
rnacentral:RNase_P_RNA from 1 species